rnacentral:rRNA from 1 species
AUUGAACGCUGGCGGCAUGCUUUACGCAUGCAAGUCGAACGGCAGCGCGGGCUUCGUCCUGGCGGCGAGUUGCGAACGGGUGAGUAAUUCAUCGGAACGUGCCCAGUAUUGGGGGCUAGGCCGGCUAAAGCCGGAUUAAUACCGCAUACGACAUGAGGGUGAAAGCGGGGGACCGAAAGGCCUCGCGCUAUUUGAGCGGCCGAUGUCGGAUUAGCUAGUUGGUGGGGUAAAGGCUUACCAAGGCGACGAUCCGUAGCUGGUCUGAGAGGACGACCAGCCACACUGGGACUGAGACACGGCCCAGACUCCUACGGGAGGCAGCAGUGGGGAAUUUUGGACAAUGGGGGCAAGCCUGAUCGAGCCAUGCCGCGUGCGGGAAGAAGGCCUUCGGGUUGUAAACCGCUUUUGUUCGGGAAGAAAUACUCUGGACUAAUACCCCGGGGGGAUGACGGUACCGGAAGAAUAAGCACCGGCUAACUACGUG